rnacentral:rRNA from 1 species
CAACACCCCUCCCCGCAAUACACGAAAGUGUAGACGGGGUUACCCAAAGUGUUCAAUUUUGAACUGUGGUAGGUGAGUAAUGUUCCCUACUAGAAAGGAGAGGGCAAGGCUGGUGCCAGCCGCCGCGGUAAAACCAGCUCUUCAAGUGGUCGGGAUAAUUAUUGGGCUUAAAGUGUCCGUAGCCGGUUUGGUAAGUUCCUGGUAAAAUCGGGUAGCUUAACUAUCUAUAUGCUAGGAAUACUACUAUACUAGAGGGGGGGAGAGGUCUGAGGUACUGCAGGGGUAGGGGUGAAAUCUUAUAAUCCUUGUUGGACCACCAGUGGCGAAGGCGUCAGACUGGAACGCGCCUGACGGUGAGGGACAAAAGCCAGGGGAGCGAACCGGAUUAGAUACCCGGGUAGUCCCAGCUGUAAACGAUGCAAACUCGGUGAUGAGUUGGCUUAUUGCUAACUCAGUGCCGCAGGGAAGCCGUUAAGUUUGCCGCCUGGGGAGUACGGUCGCAAGACUGAAACUUAAAGGAAUUGGCGGGGGAAAGGGCGAAUUCGUUUAAACUUGCAGGACUAGUCCCUUUAUUGAGGGUUAAUUCUGAGCUUGGCGUAAUCAUGGUCAUAGUUUUUUCCGGA